rnacentral:rRNA from 1 species
UACGUAGGGGGCAAGCGUUAUCCGGAUUUACUGGGUGUAAAGGGUGCGUAGGUGGCAGGGCAAGUCAGAUGUGAAAGCCCGGGGCUCAACUCCGGGACUGCUUUUGAAACUGUGUGACUGGAGUGCAGGAGAGGUAAGCGGAAUUCCUGGUGUAGCGGUGAAAUGCGUAGAUAUCAGGAGGAACACCAGUGGCGAAGGCGGCUUACUGGACUGUAACUGACGUUGAGGCUCGAAAGCGUGGGGAUCGAACAGG